GAAUACGACCUUGCCAAGGUCGGGGUCGCGGGUUCGAAUCCCGUCUUCUGCUCCAUUAUUUUUGCCGGGGUGGCGGAACUGGCAGACGCACAGGACUUAAAAUCCUGCGGUGAGAGAUCACCGUACCGGUUCGAUUCCGGUCCUCGGCACCAUCUUUAAUUAUGCGCCCGUAGCUCAAUUGGAUAGAGCGUUUGACUACGGAUCAAAAGGUUAUGGGUUCGACUCCUAUCGGGCGCGCCAUCUUAAUAACGGGAAGUAGCUCAGCUUGGUAGAGCACUUGGUUUGGGACCAAGGGGUCGCAGGUUCAAAUCCUGUCUUCCCGACUUCUGUAAAAUAACAUGGGGGCUUAGCUCAGCUGGGAGAGCGCCUGCUUUGCACGCAGGAGGUCAGCGGUUCGAUCCCGCUAGUCUCCACCAUUAUAUAUUUGAAAUGAACAUUGAAAACUGAAUGACAAUAUGUCAACGUUAAUUCCAAUAAUUUGAGUACUUCAAAAGUACUUUCGAGAGUGAUUGACUUAAACAAUCAACGAGCUAUAUCAAGCUUACUUCUUUUAUGGAGAGUUUGAUCCUGGCUCAGGAUGAACGCUGGCGGCGUGCCUAAUACAUGCAAGUCGAGCGAACAGAUAAGGAGCUUGCUCCUUGACGUUAGCGGCGKMAGUUGGUUAGAGCUAACGGCUCAUAACCGUUCGGUCGCAGGUUCGAGUCCUGCAAGGUCCAUAUAAUUCGGAGGAAUACCCAAGUCUGGCUGAAGGGAUCGGUCUUGAAAACCGACAGGGGCUUAACGCUCGCGGGGGUUCGAAUCCCUCUUCCUCCGCCAUUAUUAUUUUUUAUUACCGCGGGAUGGAGCAGUUCGGUAGCUCGUCGGGCUCAUAACCCGAAGGUCGGUGGUUCAAAUCCGCCUCCCGCAAUAUUAUUUAUAAGUGGUCCCGUAGUGGAGCGGUUUAACACGCCUGCCUGUCACGCAGGAGAUCGCGGGUUCGAUUCCGUCGGGACCGCCAUUAUUAAAAUGGUUCAGUAGCUCAGUCGGUAGAGCAAAGGACUGAAAAUCCUUGUGUCGGCGGUUCGAUUCCGUCCUGAACCACUUCUUAAAUCACGGCGGUUGUGGCGAAGUGGUUAACGCAUCGGAUUGUGGUUCCGACACUCGUGGGUUCGAUUCCCAUCAACCGCCUAUAUCGUUUAUUUUUAAUGCGGGUGUAGUUUAAUGGCAAAACCUCAGCCUUCCAAGCUGAUGUUGUGGGUUCGAUUCCCAUCACCCGCUCCAUUGUUAUUCCACAGUAGCUCAGUGGUAGAGCUAUCGGCUGUUAACCGAUCGGUCGUAGGUUCGAGUCCUACCUGUGGAGCCACGGCCCCUUGGUCAAGCGGUUAAGACACCGCCCUUUCACGGCGGUAACACGGGUUCGAGUCCCGUAGGGUCAUAUAGUCAGAAGUGAAAUAUCGCUUCUGAUUUUUUUAUAUUUUAUAAGAUUGAGCUGUGAUGGGGAGAGGAACUUGUUCCUCGAGUCGUUGAUUUCACACUGCCGAGAAAAGCCUCUAGCUAGAAUAACGGUGCCCGUACCGCAAACCGACACAGGUAGUCAAGAUGAGAAUUCUAAGGUGAGCGAGCGAACUCUCGUUAAGGAACUCGGCAAAAUGACCCCGUAACUUCGGGAGAAGGGGUGCUCUUUGAGGUUCACGCUUCGAAGAGCCGCAGUGAAUAGGCCCAAGCGACUGUUUAUCAAAAACACAGGUCUCUGCUAAACCGUAAGGUGACGUAUAGGGGCUGACGCCUGCCCGGUGCUGGAAGGUUAAGAGGAGUGGUUAGCGCAAGCGAAGCUACGAAUCGAAGCCCCAGUAAACGGCGGCCGUAACUAUAACGGUCCUAAGGUAGCGAAAUUCCUUGUCGGGUAAGUUCCGACCCGCACGAAAGGCGUAACGAUUUGGGCACUGUCUCAACGAGAGACUCGGUGAAAUCAUAGUACCGGUGAAGAUGCCGGUUACCCGCGACAGGACGGAAAGACCCCGUGGAGCUUUACUGUAGCCUGAUAUUGAAAUUCGGUACAGUUUGUACAGGAUAGGUAGGAGCCUUAGAAGCGUGAGCGCUAGCUUACGUGGAGGCAUUGGUGGGAUACUACCCUAAUUGUAUUGGAUUUCUAACCCGCAGCACUUAUCGUGCUGGGAGACAGUGUCAGGCGGGCAGUUUGACUGGGGCGGUCGCCUCCUAAAGAGUAACGGAGGCGCUCAAAGGUUCCCUCAGAAUGGUUGGAAAUCAUUCAUAGAGUGUAAAGGCAUAAGGGAGCUUGACUGCGAGACCUACAAGUCGAGCAGGGUCGAAAGACGGACUUAGUGAUCCGGUGGUUCCGCAUGGAAGGGCCAUCGCUCAACGGAUAAAAGCUACCCCGGGAUAACAGGCUUAUCUCCCCAAGAGUUCACAUCGACGGGGAGGUUUGGCACCUCGAUGUCGGCUCAUCGCAUCCUGGGGCUGUAGUCGGUCCCAAGGGUUGGGCUGUUCGCCCAUUAAAGCGGUACGCGAGCUGGGUUCAGAACGUCGUGAGACAGUUCGGUCCCUAUCCGUCGUGGGCGUAGGAAAUUUGAGAGGAGCUGUCCUUAGUACGAGAGGACCGGGAUGGACAUACCUCUGGUGUACCAGUUGUCGUGCCAACGGCAUAGCUGGGUAGCUAUGUAUGGACGGGAUAAGUGCUGAAAGCAUCUAAGCAUGAAGCCCCCCUCGAGAUGAGAUUUCCCAACUUCGGUUAU
rnacentral:rRNA from 1 species